GAUGAAGAACGUAGCAAAAUGCGAUAAGUAAUGUGAAUUGCAGAAUUCAGUGAAUCAUCGAAUCUUUGAACGCACAUUGCGCCCGCCAGUAUUCUGGCGGGCAUGCCUGUUCGAGCGUCAUUUCAACCCUCAAGCCCCCGGGUUUGGUGUUGGGGAUCGGGCUGUACUCCAGCCCGGCCCCGAAAUCUAGUGGCGGUCUCGCUGCAGCCUCCAUUGCGUAGUAGCUAACACCUCGCAACUGGAACGCGGCGCGGCCAAGCCGUUAAACCCCCAACUUCUGAAUGUUGACCUCGGAUCAGGUAGGAAUACCCGCUGAACUUAAGCAUAUCAAUAAGCGGAGA
rnacentral:misc_RNA from 1 species